ensembl:snRNA U6 U6 spliceosomal RNA
GUGCUUGCUUCAGCAACACAUAUGCUAAAAUUGGAACGAUACAGAGAAGACGGAGAAGAGGAGCAUGGCCCCUGCUCAACAACGACAUGCAAAUUGGUGAAGCAUUCCAUAUUAAA